rnacentral:rRNA from 1 species
UAAGGAAUAUUGGUCAAUGGACGCAAGUCUGAACCAGCCAUGCCGCGUGAAGGAUUAAGGUCCUCUGGAUUGUAAACUUCUUUUAUCUGGGACGAAAAAAGGCGAUUCUUCGUCACUUGACGGUACCAGAUGAAUAAGCACCGGCUAACUCCGUGCCAGCAGCCGCGGUAAUACGGAGGGUGCAAGCGUUAUCCGGAUUCACUGGGUUUAAAGGGUGCGUAGGCGGGCAGGUAAGUCAGUGGUGAAAUCCUAGAGCUUAACUCUAGAACUGCCAUUGAUACUAUCUGUCUUGAAUAUUGUGGAGGUAAGCGGAAUAUGUCAUGUAGCGGUGAAAUGCUUAGAUAUGACAUAGAACACCUAUUGCGAAGGCAGCUUACUACGCAUAUAUUGACGCUGAGGCACGAAAAGCGUGGGGAUCAAACAGGAUUAGAUACCCUGGUAGUCCACGCCCUAAACGAUGUCAACUAGUUGUUGGGGGAUUCAUUUUCCUUAGUAACGUAGCUAACGCGUGAAGUUGACCGCCUGGGGAGUACGGUCGCAAGAUUAAAACUCAAAUGAAUUGACGGGGUCAUAGCUGUUUCCUG